rnacentral:rRNA from 1 species
AUAAAUACUGAUACGGGGCUCUUUUGGGUCUCGUAAUUGGAAUGAGUACAAUCUAAAUCCCUUAACGAGGAACAAUUGGAGGGCAAGUCUGGUGCCAGCAGCCGCGGUAAUUCCAGCUCCAAUAGCGUAUAUUAAAGUUGUUGCAGUUAAAAAGCUCGUAGUUGAACCUUGGGUCUGGCUGGCCGGUCCGCCUCACCGCGAGUACUGGUCCGGCUGGACCUUUCCUUCUGGGGAAUCUCAUGGCCUUCACUGGCUGUGGGGGGAACCAGGACUUUUACUGUGAAAAAAUUAGAGUGUUCAAAGCAGGCCUUUGCUCGAAUACAUUAGCAUGGAAUAAUAGAAUAGGACGUGCGGUUCUAUUUUGUUGGUUUCUAGGACCGCCGUAAUGAUUAAUAGGGAUAGUCGGGGGCGUCAGUAUUCAGCUGUCAAAGGUGAAAUUCUUGGAUUUGCUGAAGACUAACUACUGCGAAAGCAUUCGCCAAGGAUGUUUUCAUUAAUCAGGGAACGAAAGUUAGGGGAUCGAAAACGAUCAGAUACCGUCGUAGUCUUAACCAUAAACUAUGCCGACUAGGGAUCGGACGGUGUUUCUAUUAUGACCCGUUCGGCACCUUACGAGAAAUCAAAGUUUUUGGGUUCUGGGGGGAGUAUGGUCGCAAGGCUGAAACUUAAAGAAAUUGACGGAAGGGCACCACCAG